UAAACACUCAAUUAUUUCAGACUUUUAACAGAGCUUGAAGAAGAAAAGCUGUCAUAUUCUUAUGAUCUAAGAAAUUUUGUGUAUUCUAAUGCUAAUCUAUAAAUUAAAAACACAAUUAUUACAUUAAACAUAAUGUUAACUGGGGGGAAAUCUGUAAUUGUCUCCGUAUAUGUUACAUAUUGUUUCGUACUUUGUGAGACAUGUAGCUUCAUUUCAAGUCUGACAUUAUUUGCAAGUUGUAGUGGUGCUGUUGCAUGACUUUGAGACCUGUUUUGCAUGCACAGGCUAAAAAGAAAAAGAAGGAAGAAGCGGCAAAUGCCAAAUUAUUGGAGGCCGAGAAACGAAUAAAGGGAAAAGAAAUGAGAAGACAACAAGCUGUUCUUCUGAAACAUCAGGAACGAGAGCGAAGGCGACAACACAUGAUGCUUAUGAAAGCUAUGGAGGCUCGUAAAAAAGCAGAAGUAAGUGUAUCUUUCUAGAAAAAAUAUUACCUUAUAAAGUACCACUUUUCCUAAGGCAUUGGCUCCUCUAAAUA
rnacentral:lncRNA from 1 species